rnacentral:rRNA from 1 species
AAUCAACGCUGGCGGCGCGCUUAACACAUGCAAGUCGCACGAGAAAGGGGCAACCUGAGUAAAGUGGCGUACGGGUGAGUAACACGUGGAUAUCCACCCCUUUGUGAGGAAUAACUUUGGGAAACCGAAGCUAAUACCGCACAAGCCCGGGAGGGGAAAGGCAAGCAAUUGCGCAGAGGGAGGAGUCCGCGGUCGAUUAGCUAGUUGGCGGGGUAAUGGCCCACCAAGGCGACGAUCGANAGCCGGCCUGAGAGGGCACACGGCCACACUGGCACUGAAACACGGGCCAGACUCCUACGGGAGGCAGCAGUGGGGAAUCUUGCACAAUGGGCGAAAGCCUGAUGCAGCGACGCCGCGUGAGUGAUG